AGUGAACGCUGGCGGUAGGCCUAACACAUGCAAGUCGAACGGCAGCACAGUAAGAGCUUGCUCUUACGGGUGGCGAGUGGCGGACGUGUGAGGAAUACAUCGGAAUCUACUUUUUCGUGGGGGAUAACGUAGGGAAACUUACGCUAAUACCGCAUACGACCUACGGGUGAAAGCAGGGGAUCUUCGGACCUUGCGCGAUUGAAUGAGCCGAUGUCGGAUUAGCUAGUUGGCGGGGUAAAGGCCCACCAAGGCGACGAUCCGUAGCUGGUCUGAGAGGAUGAUCAGCCACACUGGAACUGAGACACGGUCCAGACUCCUACGGGAGGCAGCAGUGGGGAAUAUUGGACAAUGGGCGCAAGCCUGAUCCAGCCAUACCGCGUGGGUGAAGAAGGCCUUCGGGUUGUAAAGCCCUUUUGUUGGGAAAGAAGAGCAGCAGGUUAAUACCCCGCUGUUCUGACGGUACCCAAAGAAUAAGCACCGGCUAACUUCGUG
rnacentral:rRNA from 1 species